AGGAGACCACGGAGAGGAUAUAUGGCUUUUGUGUUGGGAAGAUUUUACAUUGAGGAAUACCAACUUUUCUUUUUUUUAUGAAGGUGAACUGACUUUUUGACUUUGACUGUGCUUGCUGCCCAGUGAGCUCUGGAUGAAGCUUUUUGGCAACUAGAUGAGAUGCUGCUGUCACAAGGGCUACGCCAGUGGAGGUCCAGGGGAGCUGACAACACUGUUGUUUUCUCUUGCCUGGCUACAUUGCUCCAUUUAGCCAUUGUUUGGUGUUAUUCUGCUUGCACCAGCAAACAAUAAAGUUGCACUUUAUCAGGACCUGACAUCACUGUUUCAUGUGAGGGAUAACAAUUUUCCACAUGUUCUCUUGGCCAUCUCUCUACUCCACCUGUCCCCUUAUCGACAUGUCUCUGUGGGCUCUGAAGGCGGAGGCCGAAUCAUGAGGGCACGGUGUUUGGCGAUGAGGUGACGUAUUUAAACAGCGAUUACCUCCAGGAGUUGAGUGAAUGAAAUGAGGUAAAAGCUGUAUUUGAGUUAGAAAGACAAAGAGAGGUAUUUUCCCCAAGAGGAAGCAGUUGCAUACCUCAAUGUUAAAAAUAAAGCUGUCCAGAUCCAACAGGGUGGGCAGCUCAUUCUGUGCUCUCAGUGGGGGUCUGACUUCAAAGGCAGCUUUGGUUUCAUGAAGUCGUGGUAGAGUUUCUUCUCAUGCUAUCAAAUAUCUCUCUGCAAAUAAAGCUUCGUUUCAAAA